UACAGAGGUCCCGAGCGUUGUUCGGAUUCAUUGGGCGUAAAGGGUGUGUAGGUGGUUGGGUAAGUCGGAUGUGAAAUCUCACCGCUUAACGGUGAAACUGCAUUCGAUACUGCUUGGCUGGAGGAUCGGAGGGGGUAUCGGAAUUCAUGGUGUAGCAGUGAAAUGCGUAGAUAUCAUGAGGAACACCGGUGGCGAAAGCGGAUACCUGGAAGAUUACUGACUCUGAAACACGAAAGCUAGGGGAGCAAACGGG
rnacentral:rRNA from 1 species